UACAGAGGGUGCAAGCGUUAUUCGGAAUUACUGGGCGUAAAGCGCAUGUAGGCGGUUCGAUAAGUUCGAUGUGAAAGCCCUGGACUCAAUUCAGGAAGUGCAUUGGAUACUGUCAAACUGGAGUACAGGAGGGGAGAGUGGAAUUCCUGGUGUAGAGGUGAAAUUCGUAGAUAUCAGGAGGAACAACAGAGGCGAAGGCGACUCUCUGGACUGUCACUGACGCUAAUAUGCGAAAGCGUGGGGAGCAAACAGG
rnacentral:rRNA from 1 species